GACGAACGCUGGCGGCGGGCUUAACACAUGCAAGUCGAACGGAAAGACCCUGCUUGUGUGGGGUGCUCGAGGGGCGAACGGGUGAGUAACACGGGAGUAACCUGCCCUGGACGGGGGGAUGACUGCAGGAAACUGGGGCUAAUACCGGAGAGGAGCUCCUGCUGCAGGGGGGGGGUUGGAAAGUUUCGGCGGUUGGGGAUGGACUGGAGGCUUAUCAGCUUGUUGGUGGGGUAGUGGCUUACCAAGGCUUUGACGGGUAGCCGGCCUGAGAGGUUGACCGGCCACAUUGGGACUGAGAUACGGCCCAGACUCCUACGGGAGGCAGCAGUGGGGAAUAUUGCACAAUGGGCGGAAGCCUGAUGCAGAAACGCCGCGUGCGGGAUGACGGCCUUCGGGUUGUAAACCGCUUUCGCCUGUGACGAAGCGUGAGUGACGGUAAUGGGUAAAGAAGCACCGGCUAACUACGUG
rnacentral:rRNA from 1 species